rnacentral:rRNA from 1 species
GACAGAGGGUGCAAGCGUUAAUCGGAAUUAUUGGGCGUAAAGCGCGCGUAGGUGGAUUAAUAAGUUGGAUGUGAAAUCCCUGGGCUUAACCUGGGAAUUGCAUCCAAAACUGUUAUUCUAGAGUACAGUAGAGGGAAGUGGAAUUUCUGGUGUAGCGGUGAAAUGCGUAGAUAUCAGAAAGAACAUCAGUGGCGAAGGCGACUUCCUGGACUGAUACUGACACUGAGGUGCGAAAGCGUGGGGAGCAAACAGG